rnacentral:rRNA from 1 species
CAAGUCGAACGGCAGCACGGAGAGCUUGCUCUCUGGUGGCGAGUGGCGAACGGGUGAGUAAUAUAUCGGAACGUAUCCAAUAAUGGGGGAUAACGAGUCGAAAGAUUCGCUAAUACCGCAUACGCCCUACGGGGGAAAGCAGGGGAUCGUAAGACCUUGCGUUAAUGGAGCGGCCGAUAUCUGAUUAGCUUGUUGGUGAGGUAAAGGCUCACCAAGGCGACGAUCAGUAGCUGGUUUGAGAGAACGACCAGCCACACUGGAACUGAGACACGGUCCAGACUCCUACGGGAGGCAGCAGUGGGGAAUUUUGGACAAUGGGGGCAACCCUGAUCCAGCCAUUCCGCGUGAGUGAAGAAGGCCUUCGGGUUGUAAAGCUCUUUCGCAAGGGAAGAAAACUUAUGAUCGAAUAAAUCAUGAGGUUGACGGUACCUUGAUAAGAAGCACCGGCUAACUACGUGCCAGCAGCCGCGGUAAUACGUAGGGUGCGAGCGUUAAUCGGAAUUACUGGGCGUAAAGCGUGCGCAGGCGGUUUUGUAAGUCGGAUGUGAAAUCCCCGGGCUCAACCUGGGAACUGCGUUCGAAACUGCAAGGCUAGAGUGUGUCAGAGGGGGGUAGAAUUCCACGUGUAGCAGUGAAAUGCGUAGAGAUGUGGAGGAAUACCAAUGGCGAAGGCAGCCCCCUGGGAUAACACUGACGCUCAUGCACGAAAGCGUGGGGAGCAAACAGGAUUAGAUACCCUGGUAGUCCACGCCCUAAACGAUGUCAACUAGUUGUUGGUAGAGUAAAAUCUAUGAGUAACGUAGCUAACGCGUGAAGUUGACCGCCUGGGGAGUACGGUCGCAAGAUUAAAACUCAAAGGAAUUGACGG